rnacentral:rRNA from 1 species
UGGGGAAUAUUGCACAAUGGGCGAAAGCCUGAUGCAGCCAUGCCGCGUGUAUGAAGAAGGCCUUCGGGUUGUAAAGUACUUUCAGUUGUGAGGAAGGGGGUGUCGUUAAUAGCGGCAUCUCUUGACGUUAGCAACAGAAGAAGCACCGGCUAACUCCGUGCCAGCAGCCGCGGUAAUACGGAGGGUGCGAGCGUUAAUCGGAAUUACUGGGCGUAAAGCGCAUGCAGGUGGUUCAUUAAGUCAGAUGUGAAAAGCCCGGGGCUCAACCUCGGAACUGCAUUUGAAACUGGUGAACUAGAGUACUGUAGAGGGGGUAGAAUUUCAGGUGUAGCGGUGAAAUGCGUAGAGAU